AUCCAUCCCCAUGUUUGUCGGCGACGCUGACAGCAUCCCAGGCAGUCAAGGCCAUCAGGACUGCGGCGCGGCAACUGUGCGCUGGCUGGUUUUUUCACGGACGCUAUGCGUCUUUCACCCCAAGGGACAAACCACCCCUUGGGGCUGG
rfam:Pseudomonadales bacterium CV58 contig_28, whole genome shotgun sequence.